GAAAAUGCUCCGAGUUUAGAAGGACCUGAAAGACAAAAUUUAUUCGAACAUGAGUUUGAAUUUGGGCAAAAUUUGGAAAGCGUUCAAAGUAAAAAGGCAAAAUCGCAUGGACCAACGUCCAGUAAGUUGGAAACAAGUUCUACCACUCACAUGGGCACCGAAUAUGUAUCCUUGGAAGAUCUUGCUCCUUUGGCAAUGGAUAAAAUUGAAGCCCUUUCAAUUGAGGGUUUGAGAAUACAGACAGGCAUGUCAGAUGAGGAUGCACCUUCAAACAUCAGUGCUCAAUCUAUCAGCAAUUUUUCGGCCUUUGAGGGACAGAAGGUCAAUUUGGGUGGAGCAGUAGGUCUCGAAGGGGCAGGUGGAUUGAAGCUUCUGGACAUUAAAGACAAUGGUGAUGACGUUGAUGGGCUUAUGGGCUUAUCUCUGACCCUUGAUGAAUGGAUGAGGUUGGACUCGGGAGAGAUUGACGAUGAAGAUGAGAUUAGCGAGCGAACCUCCAAACUGCUGGCAGCUCAUCAUGCUAUCAGCACAGACUUGUUUCAGGACAGGUCAAAGGGAGAGAAGAGACGCGGAAAGGGUAGGAAAUGUGGUUUGCUGGGAAACAACUUUACAGUGGCACUAAUGGUGCAGCUCCGUGAUCCCUUGCGGAAUUAUGAGCCAGUUGGUACACCUAUGCUUGCUCUUGUCCAGGUAGAGAGAGUGUUUGUACCACCUAAACCUAAGAUAUACAGCACAGUUUCUGAGGUUAGAAACAACAAUGAAGAUGAUGACGAUGAAUCUGCACCUCCCAAAAAUGACUCAAAUGUGGACAUCAAAGAAGAGAAAAUACCCCAGGAUGAGCCAAUCGCACAGUACAAAAUAACCGAAGUGCAUGUUGCAGGUCUGAAGAGUGAACAAGGUAAAAAGAAAUUAUGGGGUUCCACAACUCAAGAACAGUCAGGCUCUCGUUGGUUGGUUGCUAAUGGAAUGGGAAAGAAAAAUAAACAUCCAUUUAUGAAGUCAAAGGCUGCUAAUAAAUCUUCAAAGGAAGCUGCUUCAUCAGCAACAACCACUGUGCAGCCUGGUGAUACACUAUGGAGCAUAUCUUCUAGGGUACAUGGUACAGGCACUAAAUGGAAGGAUAUAGCAGCACUAAAUCCACAUAUUCGGAAUCCAAAUGUGAUACUACCUAAUGAAACAAUCAGACUGAGGUAGUGGUGGAAACUUUGGUAUUUAUGGGAACGACGAAUUUUGAAUGUGACCACCCAAACGCAGGUGCAAGUUUGAAUUGAACAUGAAAGAGCUUGUGAGUGGUGCAGGAGACAAAGGAGUGACGUGCUCUGCCUAAAUGUCUCUGUAUGGCCAUAGCGAUUGUGCUGAACCAGUAUAUGUUUGUGCAAGCAGUUGUCAAGGAAUAUAUUGUUAUGUUUUUGUGCUCUUCUGUAAAUGUGUUUGAUUUUGUACAUGGUUAGUUGUUGUCAUGUACUGAGAAUCGUG
rnacentral:misc_RNA from 1 species